rnacentral:ncRNA from 1 species
GGAAAUGCGUAGAAGAAAAGGAGUAGCAGAUAACCUUUUAAAGAGAGAGAGGGACGGUGGAAGCCUCUUAAAGCAGUGUCUGUGAAGGUAGUUUUGGAGCAGAGAUGAUGAAUUGAGUAGUUGUCUACGGUUCGUCCCCGUUACAGGAUAUGAUAAGUGAAAGAUAAAGGUGGUACCGCGAGCAAUCGCCCUUUAU